rnacentral:rRNA from 1 species
UACAGAGGUGGCAAGCGUUGUUCGGAAUUACUGGGCGUAAAGGGCGCGUAGGCGGCCUUCUAAGUCAGACGUGAAAUCCCCAGGCUUAACUUGGGAACUGCGUCUGAUACUGGGAGGCUUGAGUGCGGGAGAGGGAUGUGGAAUUCCAGGUGUAGCGGUGAAAUGCGUAGAUAUCUGGAGGAAUACCGGUGGCGAAGGCGGCAUCCUGGACCGGCAUUGACGCUGAGGAGCGAAAGCGUGGGGAGCAAACAGG